rnacentral:lncRNA from 1 species
AGAUGAGGGGUGCACAGUGUGGGGUGCAGUGUCAGUGCAGGGUAUGGGGUGAGGGGUGCACAGCAUGGGGUGCAGCGUGUGGAGCACAGGGGGCACGGUGUGAGGUGUGGGGAGCCCACAGGAGUGCACUUGUGGGGCACAGAGUCCACGGCAUGGGGUGAAGUUGUAGGGUACAGUGUCCAUGCUGUGGGGCACAAGGUAUGGGCACAGUGUCCAUGCUGUGGGGUACAGAGUGUGGGCACAGUGUCCAUGCUGUGGGGUGCAGGGUGUGGGCACAGUGUCCAUGCUGUGGGGUACAGAGUGCGGGCACAGUGUCCAUGCUGCGGGGUACAGAGUGUGGGCACAGUGUCCAUGCUGCGGGGUACAGAGUGUGGGCACAGUGUCCAUGCUGUGGGGUACAGAGUGUGGGCACAGUGUCCAUGCUGUGGGGUACAGAGUGUGGGCACAGUGUCCAUGCUGCGGGGUACAGAGUGUGGGCACAGUGUCCAUGCUGUGGGGCACAAGGUGUGGGCACAGUGUCCAUGCUGUGGGGUACAGAGUGUGGGCACAGUGUCCAUGCUGUGGGCUGCAGGGUGUGGGUACAGUGUCCAUGCUGUGGGGUGCAGUUGUAGGGCACAGUGUCCAUGCUGUGGGGUGCAGGGUGUGGGCACAGUGUCCAUGCUGUGGGGUACAGAGUGUGGGCACAGUGUCCAUGCUGUGGGGUGCAGGGUGUGGGUACAGGACGCACGGCACAGGGUGCAGGGUGAUGGGUGCACGGCGUGGUGCGGGGCACCCAGCACAGGAUGCUCAGUGUGGGGUGUCCUUUGCAGAGCACGGGGUGCCCAGGCCCUGUUUGGGGGUGCGUCGUGCACCUUGUGAGGUGCAUGGAGAGGGGUGUGCAGUGUGGGGUUCGAGGGGUGCAGUGUGCAUUUUGUGGGUGCAGGGCACAGGGGCGGCAGGGCAGUGGGGUGCAGGGUGCUGGGUACAAGGGGCGCGCGGGGUGCAGGACAUGCCGCAGGGGGCACAGGGCAGGGUUUGGGGUGCAGGGUGCGUGGGGCACAUGGUGUGGGGCACCCCGCAGGCUGUGCACGGUGUAGGAUGUGCGGGGUGCUGGCUGCAGGGCACAGGGUGCUGGUAGCGAGGGGCCUGGCAGGGCCAUCGGGGUGGGCUUGUGGGGUGCAAAGGGUGCAGGGGUGGGGGGGCCGAGUGCUGCCUGGGGCUCCCAGAGCCCGGGGGUGCAGGCUGGCUGCGGGUGCGGGUCGCAGGGAGCGGGGGGAUGCCGGCUGCGGGCUCCGGGGGUGCGGGCUGUGCGGGACGGGCUGCAGGGUCCCGGCUGCGGGUCCCGGCUGCGGGGGCCGGCUGCGGGGCGCC